GGAGGGCGGAGUCAGGCAUUAUUUCCCGGGAUGAAUGUGGGGUUGUUGGUUGGGUCAAGUGGAGGGGGGAAAAGGUCAAAUGCAGUUGGGUAUCAAUGGUAAAUGUUUGAAUUAAGAUAUAAGUUGGUAAAGGAUUGAAUUAAGGUAUAAGUUGCUAAAUGAUUGAAUCAAGGUAUAAGUUAUUUUACAAAACCUUAAAAUAAAUCCUGCUUGCUUUGAAAAAAACUAGAAACCUGAACAAGAUUUUGUCACUUUCCAAUAAUAGCAGACAAAAAUAUUUGCAAACAAAAGCAAAUCAGUGUUAAAAACUACUUCAUAGUUAACAAAAAAAUAUUUCGCAUCAUUGGUUGCUGAAUCACUUGUUUCACCGAAAAAUAUACAAUUUAAAACGAUGACGAACAGUUCGUAGAUGCCUACCGCAUGACGUCAUCGCUCUUCUAAAGAUGCGUUGGUUUUGACGAUCCCAUAUUCAUAAACGGAAAAAAAAAAAAACCUUUUUUUUUUUUUUUACUGUUUUGUCGCUUUACUGUUUCCUUUUACGUCACUGCCUGUGAGUUAGAUUUAUUUACUGUCAUUUAACGAAAUAAAUUAUACUGUUUUCAAACUUGCUAUCCACUCAGUCGCGUCGUAAAAACACAACAUGCAUAACCAACAUUCCGAUGGAAAAUAAGGAAAAUAAACACCUCUAAAACACAAAAGGAUGAUUAAUCGAAAAGCACUGAAGCAGGAUAGGAUUAGCUAGUCGUGAGUCAUCAAGAACAUGACGUCAUGGAAGCGGGUCACGUGCAGUUGCCAACUACCACCAGAUUCGUCCGUUGCGGGUUCUCCACUUCCCUUCCUGGUUUGUCUCUUUCUCUCUCUAUCUAUCUAUUUAUUUUUCUUUUCUCUCUUUUUAUCGAUAGAUCGAUCGAUUUAUCUAUACAUGCAUGUGUAUAUCUAUCUUUUUAUUUAUCUAUCUGCCUAUCUGUCUCUCUCUUCCUACUUUCUAAUUGUUAAUUUUCAUAAUUUUUCAGACGACCUAAAUGGAGCUGCUCUAAACCAGUUACCUCUCUCACCAAUUUUGUUUCAUAUAUUUAACAUUUAACAUUACAGUAUUAACAACGAAUAGGAUAUGAUUAUUGUUAUUAAUUAUUUAUUAUUAUUAUUAUUAUUUCAAAUAUUCCCUAACUGGCAGCUCAGUCUCCUAAGCCAAGGAAGGGGGAUGGAGGAGAGAGAAAACGCCUGUGCUUCUGGUUAUGGUCUACGAAGCAGCGGAUGAUUCAACCAUAACCUCAGCUUCAGCGGAACUAAGCGUAGUUGACACACGGUCCCGAAAAAGAUAUUUGAUCUGUUUUCUUCUUUGAUGAGCAUAAACCCCCUUUUCAGAGACACGCCCAGAAUACCUAAAGACAAGACCCUGUGAUAUCUCCAAGUAUUCCUGUGGACCGCUUUGUGGUGCCCGCGAGCAAUUUAUCUUCAUCCCCUUCUAAUUCUUCCUAGCCACAAGGAAAUGCCUGACGAAGCCACGAAAUACUAUGUUAGAUAAGAGGUUCCUUGUUGAGCAAGUCUGGCGCGGGGUCAAGUGUGAGCCGUGGUACGACCUCAAGGAGCGUAUGAACGACACGACGCAGCCCAUGGCCCCGCAGCACCACCACCACCGAUCCAGGUUAAAUAAGGUGCAGCUGGAAACGAAAGGAUUGU